GUUUGUCUAAGGGUAUAUAACUGCUUGCUUGCUACUUGUAUCCUGCCUCCCUACUCCAGUCCGCCCUGGGUAGGUCAUGCCCAAUUCUCACACAAGACUUGCUAGAAUAAAACUUAUGUUCCUACUGAGAGAAACCUCUGAUUUUUUAUUUGGGUAGGUGGUCUCAAUCCCACUCAGUUGGGGAAUCGUCUGGAAUUUUCUUUGAUUAGGGAGGGGGCUUCCCUGCCAAGGUCAAGACCAAGCGUGCAUCCGGGAUUUCUCAGAGGUCUUGAGCCCCGGAAGGGAGUUACCGCCCAGUCACUGAAAUAAACCUGAAGAGGGACUCGGAGAAACAGAAGGUUUGUUAGGGCUCCGAUGAUUAAAAACAAAAUUAAGAAAUACCAGCCGGCCGGUGAGUGAGAGCAGUCACGUAAGCUGUAUGUGUGCAACCCAGAGUGUGGAGACAGAGAGAAAAAGGGAACCUUUUCCCCUUAGAUCAAAAAGAGAAAAAUUUUGCGUACCAGAACCUAAACAAAAUGUAAUUUAUGGGCAACCGGGGACUGCGCUGAGGGCUGCGGCUUGUUGGAGAUGACUGGGUUUGACUGUUGCUGAGACCACGAUGUUUUCCCACUCAUUCAAAUUGAUCACUUCUGUAGGAGAAUGGACAGAAAGCUGGUUCCUAC